UUUCCUUUUCAUUUUCUUUGGACCAAGCAUUUAGCCUUUAGACUUAGACAGUUUUCAUUCCUUGUAUUUUUUGUUUGUAUUUAAUAAAAGUCAAAAUCCUAACCUUUGAUUGGGAGUUUGUAAAAAGACCGUCUAGCGUUUUUUUCCCGUAUUUUUCUGCCUGUGUUGCUGAGAACCCCGGAUACCUUGCAAUAGGGCCUCCUGCUCCAAAGAUUUGACUUCGCUCCGGGGACAGUUACUACAGAGAUAAUGGUGGGAACAUGUACAAAUGCUGCUCUAGUAACCUUACCUUCAUCAUGUUGAUCCAUGAGAGCCUGAGCUGACCGUGUAGCUUCUUGAAGCUUCCGGAACUUGUCUGGUCUCUCUCGUUCUAUUGCCUGAUAAUGAGCACAGAUGAGGGUCUGCCAGAUUUCUCUCUUUGCGGGACACAGAGAACUCUGGGCUUUUGAGAAUGGCCUCUGCACGAGUGAUGAAGCUGUGAAUCUCAGUGAAGUCCAUGUCAAACCUGUCAAACAGCAUAUUGUUUUUUGCCCACACUGUAGUAGUAAUAAAAGCUGUUUCAGACAUGCA